CGGGGAGAGAACAACAGGGAUGCCUUAGUAACGGCGAGUGAAGCGGCAACAGCUCAAAUUUGAAAUCUGGCCCCAGGCCCGAGUUGUAAUUUGCAGAGGAUGCUUUUGGCGCGGUGCCUUCCGAGUUCCCUGGAACGGGACGCCAUAGAGGGUGAGAGCCCCGUCUGGUUGGAUACCAAGCCUUUGUAAAGCUCCUUCGACGAGUCGAGUAGUUUGGGAAUGCUGCUCUAAAUGGGAGGUAUAUGUCUUCUAAAGCUAAAUACCGGCCAGAGACCGAUAGCGCACAAGUAGAGUGAUCGAAAGAUGAAAAGCACUUUGGAAAGAGAGUUAAACAGCACGUGAAAUUGUUAAAAGGGAAGCGUUUAUGACCAGACUUGGGCCGGUUAAUCAUCCAGCGUUCUCGCUGGUGCACUUUGCCGGUCCAGGCCAGCAUCAGUUCGCUGCGGGGGAUAAAGGCGUCGGGAAUGUGGCUCCUCCGGAGUGUUAUAGCCCUUCGCGCAAUACCCUGCGGUGGACUGAGGUUCGCGCAUCUGCAAGGAUGCUGGCGUAAUGGUCAUCAACGACCCGUCUUGAAACACGGACCAAGGAGUCGUCUUCGUAUGCGAGUGUUCGGGUGUAAAACCCCUACGCGUAAUGAAAGUGAACGCAGGUGAGAGCUUCGGCGCAUCAUCGACCGAUCCUGAUGUUCUCGGAUGGAUUUGAGUAAGAGCAUACGGGGCCGGACCCCGAAAGAAGGUGAACUAUGCCUGUAUAGGGUGAAGCCAGAGGAAACUCUGGGGGGAGGCUCGCAACGGUUCUGACGUGCAA
rnacentral:rRNA from 1 species